rnacentral:rRNA from 1 species
AUUGAACGCUGGCGGCAGGCCUAACACAUGCAAGUCGAGCGAGCGGCGGACGGGUGAGUAAUGUAUGGGAAUCUGCCCGAUGGAGGGGGAUAACUACUGGAAACGGUAGCUAAUACCGCAUACUAUCGGAUGAACCCAUAUGGGAUUAGCUAGUAGGUGGGGUAAAGGCUCACCUAGGCGACGAUCUCUAGCUGGUCUGAGAGGAUGAUCAGCCACACUGGGACUGAGACACGGCCCAGACUCCUACGGGAGGCAGCAGUGGGGAAUAUUGCGCAAUGGGCGCAAGCCUGAUGCAGCCAUGCCGCGUGUAUGAAGAAGGCCUUAGGGUUGUAAAGUACUUUCAGUGGGGAGGCGUUACCUGCAGAAGAAGCACCGGCUAACUCCGUGCCAGCAGCCGCGGUAAUAC